rnacentral:rRNA from 1 species
GAUGAACGCUGGCGGCGUGCCUAAUACAUGCAAGUCGAGCGAACAGACGAGGAUUUUGCUCCUCUGACGUUAGCGGCGGACGGGUGAGUAACACGUGGAUAACCUACCUAUAAGACUGGGAUAACUUCGGGAAACCGGAGCUAAUACCGGAUAAUAUAUUGAACCGCAUGGUUCAAUAGUGAAAGACGGUUUUGCUGUCACUUAUAGAUGGUUCCGCGCCGCAUUAGCUAGUUGGUAAGGUAACGGCUUACCAAGGCAACGAUGCGUAGCCGACCUGAGAGGGUGAUCAGCCACACUGGAACUGAGACACGGUCCAGACUCCUACGGGAGGCAGCAGUAGGGAAUCUUCCGCAAUGGGCGAAAGCCUGACGGAGCAACGCCGCGUGAGUGAAGAAGGUCUUCGGAUCGUAAAGCUCUGUUAUUAGGGAAGAACAAAUGUGUAAGUAACUAUGCACGUCUUGACGGUACCUAAACAGAAAGCCACGGCUAACUACGUG